UACGUAGGGGGCAAGCGUUGUCCGGAUUUAUUGGGCGUAAAGCGCACGCAGGCGGUCUCUUACGUUCCCAGUGACAGUGCUUCGCUUAACGAAGCAAGGUCUGGGAAAACGGAGGGACUUGAGGACCAGAGAGGGACAUAGAAUUCCGGGUGGAGUGGUGAAAUGCGUAGAUAUCCGGAGGAAUACCAAAGGCGAAGGCAGUGUCCUGGCUGGUAACUGACGCUGAGGCGCGAAAGCGUGGGGAGCGAACAGG
rnacentral:rRNA from 1 species